rnacentral:lncRNA from 1 species
CCUCUUUCCACAACUCUCUUGGUUAGAUCAAAACAGUAGAGACAAAAACUGAAACAUGCCUGGGGUGCAGGAGAGAAGAAAGACUAUUUAGUGAAGUAGGCUAAUGGUGGUGGGGAGGAAGGGGGCUGAUUUUCACAUCUCAGAACUGUUAAGCCUGCAAAUAUUACUGAAAUCACAUCUGGGAACAAAGCUCUGCUUUAAGUAAGUUCACCCAUGAGUGUUGCUAAGCAAUGGAGAAGAGACGAGGGAGCAGGAGAGUGCCUGACUUUAGGAUUAGGAGGAUGGAUAGAACACAAAGAGAGGUGCUGCGUCCUGGAGCACUGGCACAAACGUUUGCGCACGAGAACUGCCAACAUCUGUCUCUGGAUUUAACAGGCAUGAGAGAAGAAGAAAUCUUCCCUAUCAGCAGCAGCAGGGGUUGCUGCAGCAAGAUGAUAAUUCCCUCCUGCUACUCUGCUGACAACCACCAAGCUGCACAGGAAGAGCAAAGCAUUUUAAUCAUGGAAUUGAAAAACAUAGCAGUUCCUAAAGCUCCACCUUACCUUGGCUGAUUUACAUUAAUUUAGAAUCAACUUGCUUUCAGCAAAAUAAUGUUAUCUAUGGAAGAUAACAGAGGCGGAAAAAUUCAGUAACUUCUAGCUUCCCUGUGCAUAACAGGCAAGGAUCUAUGUACAUAAACAGCUUUGGAACAUCUUAGAUAAGCAAGGAUUAUUGAAUUCCUUAAAAGCACAGUGCAAACUUGAUGGUUCCAUAAUUCCAUACUAAAUAUUUUACAAGUGCCAUGCUUCCAAAUACACACCAUUAAAGGGAUAAAAAAUUCACUAGCAGCUGGCAAGUCAGGGUCCAACCCAGUGUCCACUGGACCCAUCAGAAAUCCUGUGACAGAGACCUCAAGGUUUUGGCUCUGGCUCUUCCAUCAGAUUACCAUUUAUAACAAAGGCACUCCAUAAGAAGCUGCUAAGAUAAAUGCAAACCUUGUGUCAAAGACAGUCAGACACCCCACCAAAAUUAAAAAUUUGAGCACACAGCAGCUUACAGGCAGCAGCUUUGGGCAUGUGGCACAACAUCUGCUACAAAAACACUAGAAAGCAGACCUGUGGCAAACUGGACCGGUGCCAGCUCUCAAGAUUAUCCCCCCUCCAAGGCUGUCAAGUAAAUGGACAGAUGGCAGCCGAUGCACUCACAGGAUAGUUAGCUCAGUUAACAAUCAAGUAUGCUAAAUGAUUUCAGAUUCACUCUGCACCAAGCAUUGUACUUUUCAGUGAACCAUUAACACUGUGUCCUGAUAGAAAUAUGGUUUGGUAUGAAGGAACUGGCAGAUCCUGUAUUUUACAAGACAGUUUCUCUGGAACAAUUUGUCAGGGAACAUUAGAUCUGCCUUCAUGAAUAAAGUGAGAAUCUGCCAAGUUUGCCA